GGUGGAUAGAUAGGGGUGCUCUGUUAUCCUGCGUGGCAGGUGGAUAGAUAGGUGUGCUCUGUUAUCCUGCGUGGCAGGUGGAUAGAAAGGUGUGCUCUGUUAUCCUGGCCUUGGCAUGGCAGGUGCAUAGAAAGGUGUGCUCUGUUAUCCUGCGUGGCAGGUGGAUAGAUAGGUGUGCUCUGUUAUCCUGGCCUUGGCGUGGCAGGUGGAUAGAAAGGUGUGCUCUGUUAUCCUGCGUGGCAGGUGGAUAGAAAGGUGUGCUCUGUUAUCCUGCGUGGCAGGUGGAUAGAUAGGUGUGCUCUGUUAUCCUGCGUGGCAGGUGGAUAGAUAGGUGUGCUCUGUUAUCCUGGCCUUGGCGUGGCAGGUGGAUAGAAAGGUGUGCUCUGUUAUCCUGCGUGGCAGGUGGAUAGAAAGGUGUGCUCUGUUAUCCUGCGUGGCAGGUGGAUAGAUAGGUGUGCUCUGUUAUCCUGCGUGGCAGGUGGAUAGAUAGGUGUGCUCUGUUAUCCUGGCCUUGGCGUGGCAGGUGGAUAGAAAGGUGUGCUCUGUUAUCCUGCGUGGCAGGUGGAUAGAAAGGUGUGCUCUGUUAUCCUGCGUGGCAGGUGGAUAGAUAGGUGUGCUCUGUUAUCCUGCGUGGCAGGUGGAUAGAUAGGUGUGCUCUGUUAUCCUGGCCUUGGCGUGGCAGGUGGAUAGAAAGGUGUGCUCUGUUAUCCUGCGUGGCAGGUGGAUAGAUAGGUGUGCUCUGUUAUCCUGCGUGGCAGGUGGAUAGAUAGGUGUGCUCUGUUAUCCUGCGUGGCAGGUGGAUAGAUAGGUGUGCUCUGUUAUCCUGCGUGGCAGGUGGAUAGAUAGGUGUGCUCUGUUAUCCUGCGUGGCAGGUGGAUAGAUAGGUGUGCUCUGUUAUCCUGCGUGGCAGGUGGAUAGAUAGGUGUGCUCUGUUAUCCUGCGUGGCAGGUGGAUAGAUAGGUGUGCUUUGUUAUCCUGCGUGGCAGGUGGAUAGAAAGGUGUGCUCUGUUAUCCUGGCCUGUGCUCUUCUGACAGACAGCUUUCACAUACAGUACAUUCUGAAGAGGAAUACACAGGAUACACAUGGUACACAGUACAAUGAAAUGCUGACAUACAGGUCCACUCUCGACAGUGUGUCUGAGGUAGGCGGGAGCCUGGAUUAUUGAUUAGACUCUAUCAGGUCCAUUGUGAGUUGGAGGAGAAGGUAUACAGUUCGUUGACGGUCCGGGGAAGCUCAGGGCAAUAGGGUUUCUGUCUGUUUGACUUGUCGGGCUGGGAAUGUUCUGUGCUGAUGUUGAUGGAUCAGGCUCUGUCAUCACCUUGCACGUCUCAGGAGAGUGUGCUUGGUUCAUAGCUCUACGGACCAUCUGUU